GACGAACGCUGGCGGCGUGCUUAACACAUGCAAGUCGAAGGAUGAAGAAAAGAAUCAAAGCUUCGGCAAAAAUCCAUUCCGGAUUGGGGGCAGACGGGGAAGAAACGCGUAACAAACUUACCCUUUCCAAAGGAAAGGCCUGGGAAAACGGGGAUAAAUACCAUAUAACAUUCCAACGAGGAAUUUCGAUGCAACCAAAGCUACGGCGGUAAGAGAUGGGCUCGCGUCCCAUUAACCGGAUGGUGAGGUAACGGCUCACCAUAGUGACGAUGGGUAACCGGCCUGAGAGGGUGAACGGUCACACUGGAACUGAGACACGGUCCAGACUCCUACGGGAAGCAGCAGUGGGGAAUAUUGCACAAUGGAGGGAACUCUGAUGCAGCGACGCCGCGUGAGUGAUGAAGGAAUUCGUUUCGUAAAACUCUGUUCUAUGGGAAGAAAAGGACUGUACCAUAGGAGAAAGCUCCGGCUAAAUACGUG
rnacentral:rRNA from 1 species